rnacentral:lncRNA from 1 species
CACUUGAUUGCAGAGAAGGUCUACAGAGCAGUGGUUAGAACUUGGCCCUGAGGACAGAGCUUUUGCUCCGUAUGAGGCUGGCAGGUAACGAUCUUCUCAGUUUUCUCCCCAGGAAUCUGGAACGAUGAAGGUGAUGAUUGUGCCUGUGGCCAAGACCGGGAGAACCCUGGAUCCCUACACCUUCCCCACCCCUGGAAUGUCACUAUACAUAUCUGACUUCUUCUGAUGUUGCCUUUGACCCUAAAGUCAAUAUGAUAAAGUAACAAGAAGCUGGGACAGAGGAACAAACACAGCCCACUCAAGCAGUGGUGGCAACAUUCUGUUAGAAAGGAGGGGAGUCAAAGAAAAAAACACCCCUCCGCCCAUCUCCUUAUCACCUCCCUAAAGACAGAGGAGAACAUGGACACCCUCCAUCCUGAUAGACAUGCCAUGUGGUCAGUUUGUGCGGUAAACAGGAAAAAAAAAAAACCUAAAGAUAUUGUAGACCUUUAUUUUCUUUAAAUCUCCUAAUAAAAACAUUAAACUUUCAAGAAGAUUCCAAACUGA